rnacentral:misc_RNA from 1 species
GAUGAAGAACGUAGCGAAAUGCGAUACGUAAUGUGAAUUGCAGAAUUCAGUGAAUCAUCGAAUCUUUGAACGCAUAUUGCGCUCUCUGGUAUUCCGGAGAGCAUGCUUGUUUGAGUAACAGUAAACACCUCAACUCCCCUUUCUUUUUUUGAAAUGGGAGCUGGACUUGAGUGAUCCCAACGCUUUUCUCACCGAAAAGUGGCGGGUUACUUGAAAUGCAGGUGCAGCUGGACUUUUCUCUGAGCUAAAAGCAUAUCUAUUUAGUCUGCCUAAAAAACAGAUUAUUACCUUUGCUGCAGCUAACAUAAAGGAGAUUAGUUCUUGUGCUGACUGAUGCAGGAUUCACAGAGACAGCUUCGGCUGGCCUUUGUAAACUCGAUCUCAAAUCAAGUAAGACUACCCGCUGAACUUAAGCAUAUCAAUAAGCGGAGGA